GACGAACGCUGGCGGCGUGCUUAACACAUGCAAGUCGAACGGAAAGGCCCUGCUUUUGUGGGGUGCUCGAGUGGCGAACGGGUGAGUAACACGUGAGUAACCUGCCCUUGACUUUGGGAUAACUUCAGGAAACUGGGGCUAAUACCGGAUAGGAGCUCCUGCUGCAUGGUGGGGGUUGGAAAGUUUCGGCGGUUGGGGAUGGACUCGCGGCUUAUCAGCUUGUUGGUGGGGUAGUGGCUUACCAAGGCUUUGACGGGUAGCCGGCCUGAGAGGGUGACCGGCCACAUUGGGACUGAGAUACGGCCCAGACUCCUACGGGAGGCAGCAGUGGGGAAUAUUGCACAAUGGGCGGAAGCCUGAUGCAGCGACGCCGCGUGCGGGAUGACGGCCUUCGGGUUGUAAACCGCUUUCGCCUGUGACGAAGCGUGGGUGACGGUAAUGGGUAAAGAAGCACCGGCUAACUACGUG
rnacentral:rRNA from 1 species